CUCCUAACUCUUCUGCGACGCCUCCGCACCCGCGGAGCGUAGAGGAAGGGUUAGGGGGGAAGGCGGUAGCGGGAGGGGAAUCGCGAUCCAUCCCCCACCCCCCCAACCUCCCAGCCGCAAAACUCGUGCUACCGGAGCCCCCCCCCGGGAGCGGGGUCAGUGUGGAGGGAUUGUGGAUAUCGCUGCUGUGUUGGGUCUCGCGGUCGAGGACUGACACAGACUUCAGUGGGACUGAAAUCAAGCUCUGAAGAAAACAAGUAUACGAUCAGAGAUUGCUAUGUUGAAUGUUGGAACACGUCAGAAAUUCUUCUGGGAGCCUUGGAAGUUUAC